rnacentral:tRNA from 1 species
GGGGCUAUAGCUCAGCUGGGAGAGCGCCUGCUUUGCACGCAGGAGGUCUGCGGUUCGAUACCGCAUAGCCCCACCA